AAGGGCAAGACAGGAGAAAGAGGGUCCAGUGGAUUACCAGGCCCACCAGGACUCGAGGGUUUCCCUGGUGACAUCGGAAAACCUGGACUCAAUGGACCCGAGGGCCCAAAGGGUAAGCCUGGUGCCAGAGGUUUACCUGGACCUCGUGGAGCGGCUGGACGAGAGGGUGAUGAGGGUCCUGUAGGACCACCGGGGCCAGUAGGACUCGAGG